rnacentral:misc_RNA from 1 species
CUCAGAUGUGUUCUCAAAUUUGGAAAAAGCUUUCAACUUCACUACCUUUCUGGCCGAGUCUGCGUUAACAAACUCUUUUGACAAGUCCUCGACUUUAGAGAGCUUCCCUUCAUCCAAUACUUUAAAAAGGGCAAAGCCACCAGCAGGAGUCUCAAACAAAACAAGCAUCUUUAACUCCCAACUCUUCUGCAAUAAUACGCAUGCGAUAGAGGAUGGAGAAGAGAGGGACUCUGUUCUCUGCUGCGC